rnacentral:rRNA from 1 species
CGCGGUAAUACGAAGGUCCCAAGCGUUGUUCGGAAUCACUGGGCGUAAAGCGUGUGUAGGCUGCGCGGAAAGUCAAAUGUGAAAGCCCGGGGCUCAACCUCGGAACUGCAUUCGAUACUCCCGUGCUAGAGUAAUGGAGAGGUAAGUGGAAUUCCUGGUGUAGCAGUGAAAUGCGUGGAUAUCAGGAGGAACAUCAAUGGCGAAGGCAACUUACUGGACAUUUACUGACGCUCAGACACGAAGGCUAGGGUAGCGAAAGGGAUUAGAUACCCCUGUAGUCCUAGCAGUAAACGGUGCUCGCUUGGUGUGGGAGGAUUCGACCCCUUCUGUGCCGGAGCUAACGCGUUAAGCGAGCCGCCUGGGAAGUACGGUCGCAAGACUAAAACUCAAAGAAAUUGACGGGGACCCGCACAAGCGGUGGAGUAUGUGGCUUAAUUCGAUGCAACGCGAAGAACCUUACCUAGGCUUGACAUGCUUGUCGUACUCUCCCGAAAAGGAGAGGUCACUUCGGGUGGACAAUGCACAGGUGCUGCAUGGCCGUCGUCAGCUCGUGUCGUGAGAUGUUUGGUUAAGUCCAGCAACGAGCGCAACCCCUGUGAACUGUUGCCAGCGCGUAAAGGCGGGGACUCUGUUCAGACUGCCCAGAUCAACUGGGAGGAAGGUGGGGACGACGUCAGGUCAGUAUGGCCCUUACGCCUAGGGCUGCACACGUACUACAAUGCCCAGCACAAUGAGAACCGAGACCGCAAGGUGGAGGAAAUCUGCAAAACUGGGCCCAGUUCGGAUUGGAGGCUGCAACUCGCCUCCAUGAAGUCGGAAUCGCUAGUAAUGCCGUAUCAGCUACGACGGCGUGAAUACGUUCCCGGGUCUUGUACACACCGCCCGUCACAUCAUGGAAGCCGGUCGCACCCGAAGUAUAUGCGCUAACUUUAUUGAAGCAGUAUCCUAAGGUGAGGCUGGUAACUGGGAUGAAGUCGUAACAAGGUAGCCGUAGGGGAACCUGCGGCUGGAUCACCUCCUUU